GUGUGUGCUCGGCAGUCUGUCUGUAUGUGUAUUUAGCAGUCUGUCUGUGUACUUAGCAGUCUGUCUGUAUUUAGCAGACUGCUGAGUACACAGUCUGCUGAAUACACACACAGACAGACUGCUAAAUAC